rnacentral:rRNA from 1 species
GGCGAUUCUUCCACGGCGCUCGAAGCGCGUCGUGGUAUUUCGCGUAUUGUAAUUUCAACACGAGCGGGGUCAAAUCCUUUGCAGACGACUUAGCUGUGCGAAACGGUCCUGUAAGCAGUAGAGUAGCCUUGUUGUUACGAUCUGCUGAGGGUAAGCCGUCCUUCGCCUCGAUUACCCCAAUGGGUUCUCCGGAUUUCUGGAGACUUGUAGGGGUUGUUGGAUUUUUGAUGUGUCGUCUCCGGACGGGCGGUGCAGGGUAGGCGAGUUAGACUUGGUGGAAGUCCGUCGAUAGGAGUUCCGUCGAGUCUGGUCGGCUGUGUGUUGGACGGUGCAGGGUAGGCUGCUUGGACAUGGUCGGUUCGAGGAUCGAUUCGAGGGCCGGCCCGUCGAUGAUGUGUCAUGUAUGCGGUCUAGGGUAGGCCGGUUUGUCUUGGUCCAAUUU